rnacentral:rRNA from 1 species
UACGUAGGGCGCAAGCGUUGUCCGGAAUUAUUGGGCGUAAAGAGCUCGUAGGCGGUCUGUCACGUCGGAUGUGAAAGCCCGGGGCUUAACCCCGGGUCUGCAUUCGAUACGGGCAGACUAGAGUGUGGUAGGGGAGAUCGGAAUUCCUGGUGUAGCGGUGAAAUGCGCAGAUAUCAGGAGGAACACCAGCGGCGAAGGCGGCGCUCUGGGCCGGAACUGACGCUGAGGAGCGAAAGCGUGGGUAGCAAACAGG